rnacentral:rRNA from 1 species
GACGAACGCUGGCGGCGUGCCUAAUACAUGCAAGUCGAGCGGACUUGACGGAGCUUGCUCUGUUCAAGUCAGCGGCGGACGGGUGAGUAACACGUGGGUAACCUGCCUGUAAGACUGGGAUAACUCCGGGAAACCGGGGCUAAUACCGGAUAACAUCAAGAGCUACAUGGCUUUUGAUUGAAAGACGGCUUCGGCUGUCACUUACAGAUGGACCCGCGGCGCAUUAGCUAGUUGGUGGGGUAACGGCUCACCAAGGCAACGAUGGUUAGCUGGUCUGAGAGGACGACCAGCCACACUGGAACUGAGACACGGUCCAGACUCCUACGGGAGGCAGCAGUGGGGAAUCUUGCGCAAUGGGGGAAACCCUGACGCAGCGACGCCGCGUGGGUGAUGAAGGCCUUCGGGUCGUAAAGCCCUGUCAGGUGGGAAGAAACAUAUCGGUGCUAAUAUCAUCGAUAAUUGACGGUACCACCGGAGGAAGCACCGGCUAACUCCGUGCCAGCAGCCGCUGUAAAAC